AUUCCCAUUUAUUUGCUGCUAUUGUUUCUCAGUGAUAGGAGCAGUUAUACACAUGGGAUAAAAUAAUAUUGGGCUCCUGUAAAUUUCCAGUGAUUU
rnacentral:snoRNA from 1 species